UUUAUGGUUGCUUGACCUUUCUUCCAUAUUUUAUCCAAACAAGGUUUGUAGUGUUAUUUUGUCGAUUUCUUUUCUUAUUUUCUCUGCCAUAUGACAGGAAAAAGCCUGAGAUCCUUAAUGAUCUUUGUUUGCACUUGUUUGAAAUCUUGAAAUUUGAUUGGUUUAUGGGAUACCCUACGGAUUGGGUUCUUGUUGACUUGUUUCUGUCCAUUGAUUUUUUUUGGGGUAAAUCCUAGCCCUACGAUGAAGAUGUGAGGAGGGAACCUCAAUUUUGAGGGUCAUCCCACAUCGAGAAAUUAGGGGUUUUGAGAUUUUUUGGGUACUAUAAAUAUAUGCUUUCACUUUACUGUUUUGAAGAAGAAUCGAAAAAACUUCUUGCAAAAAUUUGAGAUAUCAGUUUUAUUUUGCAAAAGUACUCAAAAAGAAUUAGGGUUUUGAAAUAUUUUGAAACCUUUAAGUUUUUCAUAGUUAAGUUUAAGUUUAAAAAAUUUGAAGUUCUUGUGUGUGGCUUUGGUUCGCUUGAUUUGAGCUUUGGGGAUUGAGUGGUUUCUCCAAAUUUAAUCUUGAUUAAGGGCUGCACGAAAGAAAGAAUAUUAUAUAUGAAUACAUAUGUGGAGUUUGAAGCAACGCGCUAUCAUUGAAACUUUCACUGAUAAAGAUAUUACUGCCCAAGUCAUUGGAGUGGAAGAACAAGAGAAUAUGGAAGCCGAAGACGACAAUGAAAGUGCUGACAAACAACCUCAACCUAUUGUUACUUGGACUGGGUUAGAAGAUUCAAUAGUUCAACUCUUAGAUUCCCUUCAAGGGAAAGCGAAGGUUUAGACGUAAAUCUUUUUAAAUUCAAGUGUCAUAUCAUCACUAAGAGAUUAGAUUCUAGAAAAUAAGCUACAAUAAAAUAUCUCCCACCAAUCUUCAAAGAAUUUAAUUUUUCAAGUACUGUAGAUUUAAAAUGUGUGCAUUAGAGCUUAAAACUUUAUACAUUCAGUUAUGAAUCUAUUGAAAUUGUAUUAAUUUUCUUUAAUGUUUAGUUAAUGAAGCAUUCAUAUAUUUGAGAUUUAAAA